CCAAACUUGGUCAUUUAGAGGAAGUAAAAGUCGUAACAAGGUUUCCGUAGGUGAACCUGCGGAAGGAUCAUUACCGUGUUUGGGUCCCCUCGGGGGCCCGACAUCCCACCCUUUUGUCGUAACAAGAAAAUCGUUGCUUCGGCGGGCCGGCCCUCACCGGCCGCCUGGCGCGCCCUCAGAAAGCGCACCGGGAGAGCGUCCGCCGGGGGACAACCAAAACACUGUACCAAACCAGUCUGUCAGAGUAUACAUGAAUUUAAUAAUUCAAAACUUUCAACAACGGAUCUCUUGGUUCUGGCAUCGAUGAAGAACGCAGC
rnacentral:misc_RNA from 1 species